AUUGAACGCUGGCGGCAUGCCUUACACAUGCAAGUCGAACGGCAGCACGGGAGCAAUCCUGGUGGCGAGUGGCGAACGGGUGAGUAAUGUAUCGGAACGUACCUUUCAGUGGGGGAUAACGUAGCGAAAGUUACGCUAAUACCGCAUAUUUUGUGAGCAGGAAAGCAGGGGAUCGCAAGACCUUGCGCUGAUUGAGCGGCCGAUAUCAGAUUAGCUAGUUGGUGAGGUAAAGGCUCACCAAGGCGACGAUCUGUAGCGGGUCUGAGAGGAUGAUCCGCCACACUGGAACUGAGACACGGUCCAGACUCCUACGGGAGGCAGCAGUGGGGAAUUUUGGACAAUGGGCGCAAGCCUGAUCCAGCCAUGCCGCGUGAGUGAAGAAGGCCUUCGGUUGUAAGACGUCUUUCUAGCCGGGAAC
rnacentral:rRNA from 1 species